CCAAUAGCGUAUAUUAAAGUUGUUGCAGUUAAAAAGCUCGUAGUUGAAUUUCGGGAUUCGUCCAUUGGUCAGGCUUAACUGUCUGUACUGGUGUGUCGGAUUUCUACCUUCUGAAGAACCUUUAUGCCAUUAAUUUGGUGUGUUGGGGAAUCAGGACUGUUACUUUGAAAAAAUUAGAGUGUUUAAAGCAGGCUAACGUCUGAAUACAUUAGCAUGGAAUAAUGAAAUAGGACGGUACGGUUCUAUUUUGUUGGUUUCUAGGAUCGCCGUAAUGAUUAAUAGGGGUAGUUGGGGGCAUUAGUAUUCAAUUGUCAGAGGUGAAAUUCUUGGAUUUAUUGAAGACUAACUACUGCGAAAGCAUUUGCCAAGGAUGUUUUCAUUAAUCAAGAACGAAAGUUAGGGGAUCGAAGACGAUCAGAUACCGUCGUAGUCUUAACCAUAAACUAUGCCGACUAGGGAUUGGACGAUGUUAAUUUUUUAAUGACUCGUUCAGCACCUUACG
rnacentral:rRNA from 1 species